AUCACCUAUAUGAUUUGACAGUCUUCUUUGUUCUGGGACCUCUCCACAGUAGGCAUUGUGAUAUAUCACUUGGCCUAGCAGAGAGCAUUGUGACAUACCCGCGAGCCAAGCACACAGAUGAUGUUAUUCUGCUGCCUGUGCCCUGCUUUCAGGAGUGGAUUGCAAUGUAACACUGGCUGAGUACCCAGGUUAAUGACACUGUUGCCUGGUCCCUGUUCUCAGGGAAGACUGUAAUAGACCCCUGACCCAAUAUCCAGGGGACAUUGUGACAUACUUCUUGGCCAUGAACCCAGGUUAUGUGAGCCUUUCUGUGCCCUGCCCAUGUGGACAAUUGUGACAUAUUACCGAGUCCUACACCCAGGCGAUGCUACUCUCCUGUCUGGUCCUUGCCUACAGGGAACAUUGUGACAUAUCUCUUUGCCAUUCAUCCAGGUUCUGCCCACAGGGAAGAUUGUGGUGAAUUACUGAACGCGAUACCUAGAUGAAGAAGACAUUGUGACAUAUCGCUGGGCCUAGCACCAAGGUGAUGUGAAUCUUCUGCCUGGACCUGCUCACAGAGGGAAUUGUUACAUAUUUUUGACUUCAUCAACUAUUUGAUGUGACUCUCCUCUCUAACCUGGGCCUUGCCCAUAAAAAACAUUGUGGCUUAUCUCUGGGCCCAAAACCUAGGUGAUGUGACUGUCUUCUUAGGGUCAUGCCCACAGUAGAGAGAUGCCUUAUUGCUAAACCCAGCACACAGGUGAGGUGAUUCUUCUGUCUGGUCCCUGCCCACAGGGGUCAUGAUGACAUCUCUCUAAGCCCAUCACCUAGAUUAUGUGAGUUCUCUUUUUCUUCUGUUAGCUAUAUAGAAGAUUGUGACAUAUUGCUUGGCCCAGACCUCAUGUGAUGUGAAUCUCCUCUCAUGCCUUGGUCCUGUUUUUUUUUGGCCGUUGUUGUUUUGUUUUGUUUUUUGAGAUGGAGUCUUGCUCUGUUGCCUAAGCUGGAGUGCAGUGGCAUAAUCUAGGCUCACUGCAACCUCUGCCUCCUGGGUUCAAGUUAUUCUCCUGCCUCAGCCCCUGAAUAGCUAGGAUUAAAGGUGAGUGCCACCACACUCAGCUAAUUUUUGUAUUUUUAGUAGAGAUGGGGUUUCACCAUGUUGAUUAGGCUGGUAUUGAACUCCUGACUUCGUGAUCAACUCGCCUCUGCCUCCCAAACUUUUGGGAUUACAGGCAUGAGCCACCAUGCCCAGUCAAGAUGAUGAUACAUUUCUAAACCCAGGUUAUAGGCAGGUGAGGGUUCUUCUACCUAUACACACGUUUAAAGGGAUGUUGAAUCUCACACGUGGUCUCAGGGCCACAGGUACAAGCAUGGGUCUUCACCAGCAUGAAUAUCUCAGAGCAUACUGCGACUCUCCAGUGUAAUGUAUAAAGCUCUCAGGUGGGACAGUGUCCUAACAGGAUCCAGAACACAGAAAAGAUGUUGAUGCUCCUAUGCACACCCAGGUCACAGUAAAAUAUGUCAUUUUCCCACAUAAUCAUAGCCCAAUGUUGAGAUUCUGCAUCUCACACCUGAAAGAAGUUGAAAGAUGGAAAAUUGACUCUCUUAUAUAGAUCUGGUCUACAGGUAGGUUGGUGACAUUCAGAUCAAAAUUAAGUACACUUGUGAGGCUAUAACUCUUCUAAGAAGACACAGCUCACAGGAGCAACUGAUGCUCCUAUGAACAAAUCCAGUCCGUGAUUGAGAUUCUAACUCAUGUACUUAUUGUCAGGCCUCUGAGCCCAAGCUAAGCCAUCAUAUCCCCUGUGACCUGCACGUAUACAUCCAGAUGGCCUGAAGCAACCGAAUAUCCACAAAGGAAGUGAAAAUAGCCGUAACUGAUGACAUUCCACCAUUGUGAUUUGUUCCUGCCCCACCCUAACUGAUACGAUAUAUUCUCCCUCUGCCCUGAAGAAGGUACUUUGUAAUAGUCUCCCCCCACCUUAAAAAGGUACUUUGUAAUAUUCUCCCCACCCGUGAGAAUGUACUUUGUACACCUAUCCCAAACCUAUAAGAACUAAUGAUAAUCCCACCACGCUUUGCUGACUCCUUUUUUGGACUCAGCCCACCUGCACCCAGGUGAAAUAAACAGCCUUGUUGCUCAC
rnacentral:lncRNA from 10 species